CACCGUGCCCAGCUAAUUUUUUGUAUUUUUAGUAGGGACGGGAUUUCACCAUGUUGACCAGGAUGGUCUCGAUCUCUUGACCUCGUGAUCCACCCGCCUCGGCCUCCCAAAGUGCUGGGAUUACAGGCAUGAGCCACUGCGCCCGGCCUUUUUUUUUCUUUAGAACCCUGAGAUGACCACAUGAAGAAACCACCUACUGAAGGAUGAGAAGACCAUGUGGCACAAAGACAAGCCACCUGGCUGAGGUCCUACACCCACCAGUCUGCCACUGCCUGCCUGCCUUGUGAGGCCAUGGUAGACCACCCGGUCCCAGCCAAGCUGCCAGCUGACCGUAGACAUCAUCCAAGCCAACCCAGACCAGAAGAACCACCUGGCUCUGACCCAAAGAAUUCUGAGAAAUAAGAAAUGUUUGUUGUGUGAAGCUACAAAGUUUUGGAGUGAUUUGUGACAUAGCAGACGUUGACUGAUAGAACGACAAUUGUCAGCACUUUGAAGUCAAGAUCUUGUCUUAUUCACUGAACACAGAGUCUAGCACAUUGCUGGGCACAGCGACUGCCUAAUUAAUACUUUUAAAAUGAAAACCCUGAUCUCAGAAGGAAAGAUUCUGACUGUACCCUCCCCUGUGUCAAGUGACUCAAUCUGCUUCCGUCAGCCUCAUCUGUCCCCAGGAUGACAUUCGUGAGGCUGCUUCAUUUAAAUGUAAACAGACUGUAAACGCUGUGGAAGUGGGGACCUCCUUCGUGUUUGCUCACAGCUGUGUGGUUUGGCACCUAUCACAGCAACGUGACAGGGCUUCGGUAACUAUCUGCUGAAUAAAUGAACCAGCAUAGUGUGGCAUUUGCAGCAGCCAGUGAAACGGUCCCGUGGGAGAGGGUGUUGAUUAUCUCUUUCCAGCACGCACAACCUCGCAACCCUGUGCCCUCCUCAUGGCAUGACCAAUGAGCAUGCUUCCCCACAAAGGGCAAUGUGGGUCAUGGAGCAGAGCAGCAGGAGUGGUGGCCUGAGGGACCUUCUUAGAGUCACACAGGGAACCAGAAGAGGGAGAGAAUAUCCAGCUGGUGAAGAGCUGAAAGAGAAGAAGGUGAAAGAAGAGAUGAACUAAGCCUGGGAGCCGCCAAGCAACAGGUCCACGCUUACAGU
rnacentral:lncRNA from 13 species